AUCUGAGUCUGGGUGUGCUUCCUUGAGGGUGUGGGGGUGAGUUCUUCUGUAUUGGAGGGCUGUGAUCUACCCCUUUGCUGGGGGUUCAUAGCUGCAUUUUGGGGCUGGCAGCCAUCUGUACCUGGAAACUGCUUCUUUGGGGGAGCGAGUGAGUAUUGGUCCUUGGAAUGGGGUAAGUGGUUCUUUCUGAAUUUCAGGGCUCUGAGCUCCUCUUUUGGGGGGAUCUUGACCCCAUGUAAGAACUGGUAGCUUUCAGGCCUGUAUCUGAACUUGGAGACUGCUUCCUUUGGGGUGUGGGGGGAAGCCCUUAAAUGGGGUGAGGGAUUCCUGCUUUAUUGUAGAGCUGUGAGCCAUGUCUUUCCGGGGAGAUCCUGAGCUGGAUUAGAGCAGCUGUAUCUGCUGUGUGUGUCCCUACGGUGCCUUCAGUCUUGUCCUAAGGGAGAUGAAGGGGUUCUCUCCUGUUCUCUGAGCAGCUGAUGGAUGGACUGACAUCCAUUCCUUCCUUUCACAGUUCCCUUGCUUCUGGAUUGCUUCAAUGAGCCCUAAUGAUGCUGAUUGGCUGACUGAGCGCUGCGGUUCUGGACACGGUGACAGUUAAUACCCUAUUCCGUUCAGGGGUUCUGCAUUCUGCAGAUCCUGUUUGCAGCCCUUUUUAAGCCCAUUUCUUUCUGAUUGAGUCGCUGUUUCCUCUUUCAUGGUUUUCACCUCAUGAUCUCCAACCUCGGCUCCAAAUGUGGUUUGUCUUCUCCCCCAUCAUCCCAUCUUAUGGCUGUAAUUCACAGUGCCAUGUGUUAAUUGCACCCACGCAGAGUUGUUGAAGGGCAUUCUGGGCAUCAUUAUCAUGUUUUAAAUUAUGUCCUCUCUUCUGAUCUCAGUUUGCAGCUCAGUGGGUUUUAAGGAUUGUUGGGACUCCUCUAAUCGGUGGUGUGAGGCCUGUGGAGCAGCUAAUGGAACAUCACGACUAUGCUGACUUCCCCAGGGUGGCAGCAGAGAGCUGCAGCGCUCCCGAGUGCUGUAAGGACUGCACGGAGAGAUGUGCAGGUCUUCACGGGAACAGCCAGGAACCGAAAGCUGCAUUUCCUGGGAUGCCCUGGAACUCCACUUUGCUGACUGGUAAUUGUCUGCCCAGCAGGUGGCAGCAGAGAGCUGCAGCACUCCCGAGUGCUGUAAGGACUGCACGGAGAGAUGUGCAGGUCUUCACGGGAACAGCCAGGAACCGAAAGCUGCAUUUCCCGGGAUGCCCUGGAACUCCACUUUGCUGACUGGUAAUUGUCUGCCCAGCAGGUAAGGACAAUGCACACCCACCAGUGUUUACCCCUUACUGAGUGAGACACAAGGUAGGGUUCCCAGAGCUCCUUUCUGCACUGCAGGGUUCCCCGAAGGCUGCCCGUCCUAUUCUUUGCACGUUCUCCUUGGCUCUGGCCUUUCACGGCGGUGUUCUCCUUCCCUUUGCCCUUGGCGUUCCCUACUACAUUCUCUUGUCCUCUUGUUUUUGCAUUCCUUGUCAUGUUCUCUUGGCCAUUGCCCUUGGCCUUCUUUGCGGCAUUCUUUUUGGCCUCAGGUUUUGGCGUUCCCUGCAGCGUUCUCUUUGGCCAUCACUUCUGGUGUUCCAUGCAGUGUUCUAUUUGGCCUUAGGUUUUUGCCAUCCAUGCCACGUUCUCCUGGCCAUCGCGUUUGACCGCCUUUGCCACAUUCUCUUUGGCGUUCCCUUCCAUGUUCUCUUUGACCUUUGCCCUUGGCCUUCUUUGCCUGUGCUCCUUUCAGCCCCCUGUUGUGGCAUUCUCUGCGACGAUCUCUUUGGCCUUUGGUUUUGGCAUUCCUUGUUGCGUUCUGUUUGGCCUUUGCCUUUGGCCUUCUUGUUUUGGCAUUCCCUACAGCGUUCUCUUUGGCCUUUGGUUUUGGCCUUCUGUGCUGCAUUCUCUUUGGCCAUUGCCCUUGGCCUCCUGCAUCGGCCUUCCCUGCAGCGUUCUCAUGGACCUCGCCCUCCAUUUUGGCCUUGCCACGGUGUUCUCUUUGGUCUCUGUUUUGUUCUCUGAGGCCCUCUCUUUGGGCCUGCCCUCUGAGGAGGUCUUCUCUUUGGUGUUCUCCAUACCUUUGCUUUCACUGUGCCUUUGACGUUGCCUUCCCUUGGUUGUUGUCUAUGCCUUUGCCCUCGGUUUUGGUGUUCCCUUGGGUGUUGUUGCCUUUGCCUUGGCCUUCCCUAACAGUCACUUUGAGCAUAACCCUAAUAAACCUAACCCUUAUACCUUCACCCCAACUCCUAAUGAGCUCUGAACUCCAAACAUAGUGCUAAUCUGAUGCAACGCCCUCAGCAAACUUACCAAAGGUGCACUCCAUGCCAUCAGGCAGGUCUUCAAUGAAGAUAUUGGACAGAACAGGCCUGAAGAGCACUCAGGAUGGCAUACCAGCUGCAUUUAACACGAUCGGAGCAGCACUCAUUAGGCCAGGCGGUUCAGCUAGUUCUUCAUCUAGCAAGCAACGUACCCGUCCAAGUAGCCGGCUGCAAUCUUUGAGAGAAUUUCGAGGGAUAGCACAUCAAAGGGUUUGCCUCACUCAUGGGGUUGGGUCACCUUCGCUUUGAGUUUGCUAGCGUGGCUGACCCUAAUCCCGUAACUGACAUCCUGUAGCUGGACAGGGACCAUUCGCACUCCAUCCAGUCUGUUUGAGACUCACGGCCAUGCUGAGAGUCACGCUGAUUUCAGCGCGUGCAGUCAUUUUGCAUCAACCCAAUUGGCUUUAGCUUUACAAAUAAUUUAUCUCAACCAAAUUGGCUUUAGCUUUGCAGUUAAUGCAUUGCAACUAAGUUGGCUUUAGCUUUGCCUUGCUUACGGGGUUGGGUUAGCUUUGCUUUGUUUGUUUGUACCGCAGGGCUAACCCAACCCCGUAACCAACGCCCGAGGCCUUUGGAGCCCAUUUGCGCUCCUUCCCGGCCAGUCUGAGACUCGCGCCCCUUUGCGCGGCCAUUCUGAGAGUUGCGCCGAUUUUGGCAUGUGCAGUCAAUUGAUCUUGCCCAAAUUGGCUUUAGCUUUGCAAUCAAUUGAUCUCAGCCAAAUUGGCUUUAGCUUUGCCUUGCUUACGGGGUUGGGUUAGCUUUGCUUUGUUUGUUUGUACCGCAGGGCUAACCCAACCCCGUAACCAACGCCCGAGGCCUUCGGAGCCCAUUUGCGCUCCUUCCCGGCCAGUCUGAGACUCGCGCCCCUUUGCGCGGCCAUUCUGAGAGUUGCGCCGAUUUUGGCAUGUGCAGUCAAUUGAUCUUGCCCAAAUUGGCUUUAGCUUUGCAAUCAAUUGAUCUCAGCCAAAUUGGCUUUAGCUUUGCCUUGCUUACGGGGUUGGGUUAGCUUUGCUUUGUUUGUUUGUACCGCAGGGCUAACCCAACCCCGUAACCAACGCCCGAGGCCUUCGGAGCCCAUUUGCGCUCCUUCCCGGCCAG